rnacentral:rRNA from 1 species
AACGCACCUUGCGCUCUUUGGUAUUCCGAAGAGCAUGCCUGUUUGAGUGUCAUGGAAUUCUCAAAAACAUAAAUAAAAGAAAAGCUUUUACCGGCAGAUUUUUUUGUUUUGUUUUUGGACUUGGAGGUUGUGUCGGCUACUAGCUUUAGUAAAGACUCCUCUGAAACGCAUUAGUAUGAACCUUACGGAUCACUUAUCAGUGUGAUAAUUAUCUACGCCUGCAUGCCGUGUCUGUCGAGUGCUCGCUCACAGCCGUCCCUGGCGGACAACUUCAACCAAUCGUGACCUCAAAUCAGGUAGGACUACCCGCUGAACUUAA